ACAGCACUUUCAUAGGUCCUCCCCCAGGCAGUGGGGCCAGGAUUUGGUAGCUGGUGCUGAAAGGAAAAACCCUGGGUUGCAUCCGUGCCCUGGGACUGUGCCAGUGGCAGCUGGCACUCAGUAGCACAGAG